rnacentral:rRNA from 1 species
GACGAACGCUGGCGGCGUGCCUAAUACAUGCAAGUUGAGCGCUUAAGGUUGGUACUUGUACCAACUGGAUGAGCAGCGAACGGGUGAGUAACGCGUGGGGAAUCUGCCUUUGAGCGGGGGACAACAUUUGGAAACGAAUGCUAAUACCGCAUAAAAACUUUAAACACAAGUUUUAAGUUUGAAAGAUGCAAUUGCAUCACUCAAAGAUGAUCCCGCGUUGUAUUAGCUAGUUGGUGAGGUAAAGGCUCACCAAGGCGAUGAUACAUAGCCGACCUGAGAGGGGGAUCGGCCACAUUGGGACUGAGACACGGCCCAAACUACUACGGGAGGCAGCAGUAGGGAAUCUUCGGCGAUGGAAGAAAGUCGGACCGAGCAACGCCGCGGGAGUGAAGAAGGUUUUCGGAUCGUAAAACUCUGUUGGUAGAGAAGAACGUUGGUGAGAGUGGAAAGCUCAUCAAGUGACGGUAACUACCCAGAAAGGGACGGCUAACUACGUG